UUAUGUAUAUAUUUUCCACAUACAUAUACACAUAUAUGUAUUUUUAACCUAAACAUUGAAUAUCGAGCGGAUUGUCACGGAUUUUAAUGACGUUUUGUUUAACGUUCUCUUCUUCGACAAGACAGGAGAAUAAAUUUCAUUCGAAUAAUAGAAACGUUCAGUUCGUGUUAUUGUAUAGACGAUUUAGCAACUUUGAAGGGCAUUCGAAUCAACCACGUGUACGAGAGUUUAUUUACGAAAGCAAGCUUUAGGCCAGAGAGAGAAAGAGAAAGAAGCUACAAUAGAGUCAUUAUAUACGUUGCCCAGUGUGCGUUUCUCUCUCUUUCUGCCGAAAGCGUGCGAGAUUCGCGAGCUAACUGACCGGCAAAAGGGCGGAAGAUGUCCGACGAUUAACCGAAGUAAUGAAGACCCAGACUGUGCCCGUGUACUCGACAAAAACUUUCGUAGUAAUAAAGUAGAAUAAGAAGAGUUCGAUGUUAUCCUCAUAAUGGACCAUUUAUUCCGAUCAACACAAAACCAACCACUAUUAUUAUUUGAUUGAGUUAGAUUUUCGGAGGAUAAAAAUUGAUUUCAAGAUAAUACUUGAUUAUUCUUGGAGUAAACACUACGUGAAAUGUAUCUCACUGGCGAACGGAAGUCCGAGGAUGCUCUUGAACAAGGAUAAAAGAACAUACGAAUCGCCGGCUGGGUGGUAGACGA